AACGAACGCUGGCGGCAGGCUUAACACAUGCAAGUCGAACGCCCCGCAAGGGGAGUGGCAGACGGGUGAGUAACGCGUGGGAAUCUACCCAGUUCUACGGAACAACUGAGGGAAACUUCAGCUAAUACCGUAUACGCCCUACGGGGGAAAGAUUUAUCGGAAUUGGAUGAGCCCGCGUUGGAUUAGCUAGUUGGUGAGGUAACGGCUCACCAAGGCGACGAUCCAUAGCUGGUCUGAGAGGAUGAUCAGCCACACUGGGACUGAGACACGGCCAAGACUCCUACGGGAGGCAGCAGUGGGGAAUAUUGGACAAUGGGCGCAAGCCUGAUUCAGCCAUGCCGCGUGAGUGAUGAAGGCCUUAGGGUUGUAAAGCUCUUUCAGUGGGGACGAUAAUGACGGUACCCACAGAAGAAGCCCCGGCUAACUUCGUGCCAGCCGCCGCAGUAAGAC
rnacentral:rRNA from 1 species